CUGACCGUGAGGAAAACAGGACUGACAAUGGAGAGUAGAGGCAUCUUUUUUUCCUGCAUCAGUAAUCCAUCCACCCCCUCGGCGUUUUGCCGUAAUUUUCACCCAAAUCGGUUGUGGGUUUGCUGCAACUGCCUCCCAGAGGUCCUUUGGAUCCCUGCUCCACCCCUUCCUGCGCCCUGCCACAUGCACGCAGCCUCACAGCUGCACGUGGCUCUGCACGUCUAUCACACGCUCGCAGCAUCAAGGGGAGAAGCAGAGAGCCCGCAUCCUAAAGGAGAGCCGGGAGUUUGCGCUGGUCGUAUGCGUGGGUAUUUAUACACGUCGGACAGACCGGCAGGCGGAAGACUAUGUGCGCGGGGGAGUUUGUGUGUGCGUGAGAAAGGGAUUGAGAGAGAGACAGAAAACCUUCGUUCAUUACUGUCACCCUGAGCUGGCGAGGAGAUGCUGGGAAGCGGGAUCAGGAUGCUGGCUGCAGCAGCAGCAGCCCAUGGCUUGAAGAUUUAAAGAAAAAGGAAAAACACUAGAGCAACAAAAAAACAAUCCCAACGUUUUUUGUUGGUUUGUUUUUUAUUUAAAACAAACCAAAAAAAAAAAAAAAAAAUAGCCGAUCCAUCUCUUUGUUGGAUGAAUUAAUUGUGCAGACUCACUCUCAGUGAAGACGAGUGUCGCUGGGCUUUCUCUCCCUGGACUUUGGGCUCCUGCAGAUAAGUUACUAGUCAGAGAUGACUGGUAAGCAACACGAGUCGGAGGACUUGAACCGGAGAUGCGGGAUUUACCCUAAAUUUAUUGCUCGACUCAGUGUUGUGCAGAUUUAGUGCAGUCACACAGACAUGCGCACACGCUUCAUCUGCAGGCCUGCACGUGAGAGCCAGCCCACCUCCUGCCUCUCUGGAGCUCAGCUUAGCAGCCGGGUCAGACGGAGGUUUCGUCACUUGGCUGUCACAGCAAGAAGAGGAGGCAGAGGAGGAGGAAAAAAGAAAAAGCAGAGUGGGUGGAAGAUUGGAAUGAGAAACCGAUAGACGCAGUUCGAGGAGGUGGUUGGAAGCGAGUGAACCCUGAGCAGGUGAACGCAGCUGUGGAUCGCCAUGGGCUCUCUGGCUGCCUUCCUCCUGUGGCCCCGGUGUUGUGUAGGGGUCCCGCGGAGCCAAGCAGGGGCCAGCCAAAGCUGCAGCAGAGUGGGCAGGGUAGGCCAAACCAAGCCAGGAGAGAGGCAGGUGAGGCGGGUGAGCCGUGCUCGCAUUCCCCGCCGGCUAGGAGCCUCCUCGGCAGAGCGGAGCAACGCGGAGCAGCAGAAAUCAAUACGGAGGAGAGGGGUUAGCAGAGGUUGCCCAGCACCGCCUGCAGGCCUCGGAGCCCAGGGACCCACCACCACCAGCAACCACCACUCCCAGCUCCGCUCUUCAUCUCUCUCUCCUUCUCCAGCAGUCCCAGCACCAGCCAGGGCCGGGGCCCUAAACCGUUCAACGGCCCCACACGCAGCGUGUGUGUCGGUGCGUGCACGCGUGUGCAUGAAAGAGAGGAAAAAGCAGAGAGGGGAAGAGAAAGACUCCGCCUUUGUGUGUGGUUCAGCCCCAGGGCGUUUUUUGACGUCCAACACCACUUGAUAAAAGUUUGUGAGCAAGACGUGGAGACAGCAAAGGAGGGCGAGACACGGCAGAAGAAUGAGAUGCUGAACGUCUCUUUUUUCUCCCAGCUCACACCCUCAUAUUACUCAUCCCACUUUCACUGUUUGAAUGAGGAUCCACCUGAGAUGAUACACGGGACUUUUCAGCUCAAUCCCACUUCCAAGCAUGUAGGGCACAAUAUACCUCAGAUCUAAUAAGCCAGGAUGAAAAGACAAUUUGAACUUUUUCUCCCAUCUACUAUAUCAGGCACAACCUGUCUUUUCGCCUUAGAUUUUCUUACCCUCACAACUGCAACUCCCAUCAGAGGAUAUGGCAGUGCAGUAUUGAUCUGAAGGUGGAAGAAAAGAAAGGCGGGCCCAGGUUUUUUCAUACAUCUCAGGCUGGCUACGUGUGGGGAGAAAUGACACCUGACGUCCGCUGACGUUAACGGCUUCCAACUGAAUGAGAGGUGGACUGAGAAGGACAGCAGUUUAACAAGCCGUCGUUAUUGCGCUCACUUUUUCUUUCAAAAAUGCUUUGAGACUAAAGAACGUUGCCUUUUAACAGAGACGAAUGGAAAAAUAAGAGAAUGUAGAACAUUUCAGGAGGAAAUUCGAGUUUAUGCUCAGGAAGUGAAAACUGCUCGUGGUCGUCCAGAGGGCCGCAUUCCCAAACACAUUUACAGAUAUGAUGAAAUAUGCACCUCCCGAUGCAGUCUUUGAAAUAUCUACCAUGUGGAUGAAAAGCAGUGAUCCCACCCUUGGGCCUUGAACAACGAAACACACGCCGCCUGUAGCCAGUUUCUUUGAACAUGCUCAGCCCUGACCACAAAAGAUAAAAUGCCACCUCCACACCUGCAUGAACACUCAGACACAUCGUUAUAUUGUUGUUCAUCUGGUCCCCGGACUUUGAAAACAGGUAAGUCAAAGCUGCUUCAAAAAGGUAUGUUUGGAGGUUCUGUUAAAUUAGGAGUUGUGUAAACUGUAAAGUAAACUUGUCCGAUAAAAUUUUCCCAAUUUGUUUCUGUUUUAUUUUCUUUCUCAGUAAACUUUACAUAAAGUGUGACUGAAAAAAUAUCUAAAUACGAGUGAGCUACAGUUAAAAAAAUGUUCUUGUUUUCUUGUUUGGAGCAUGAGAUGCAGAUAAUUACUUUCAUUCUGUA